rnacentral:rRNA from 1 species
UACGGAGGGUGCGAGCGUUGUCCGGAAUCAUUGGGCGUAAAGGGCGCGUAGGUGGCUCGUUAAGCGUGCGGUGAAAGCUCGGGGCUCAACCCCGAGUCGGCCGUGCGAACUGGGGAGCUGGAGCACUGUAGAGGCAGGCGGAAUUCCGGGUGUAGCGGUGGAAUGCGUAGAGAUCAGGAAGAACACCAGUGGCGAAGGCGCUCUGCUAGGCCGUAACUGACACUGAGGGACGAAAGCUAGGGGAGCGAAUGGG